rnacentral:rRNA from 1 species
GGAGCCGACCUUGAAAUACCACCCUUUAAUGUUUGAUGUUCUAACGUGGACCCGUAAUCCGGGUUGCGGACAGUGUCUGGUGGGUAGUUUGACUGGGGCGGUCUCCUCCUAAAGAGUAACGGAGGAGCACGAAGGUUGGCUAAUCCUGGUCGGACAUCAGGAGGUUAGUGCAAUGGCAUAAGCCAGCUUGACUGCGAGCGUGACGGCGCGAGCAGGUGCGAAAGCAGGUCAUAGUGAUCCGGUGGUUCUGAAUGGAAGGGCCAUCGCUCAACGGAUAAAAGGUACUCCGGGGAUAACAGGCUGAUACCGCCCAAGAGUUCAUAUCGACGGCGGUGUUUGGCACCUCGAUGUCGGCUCAUCACAUCCUGGGGCUGAAGUAGGUCCCAAGGGUAUGGCUGUUCGCCAUUUAAAGUGGUACGCGAGCUGGGUUUAGAACGUCGUGAGACAGUUCGGUCCCUAUCUGCCGUGGGCGCUGGAGAACUGAGGGGGGCUGCUCCUAGUACGAGAGGACCGGAGUGGACGCAUCACUGGUGUUCGGGUUGUCAUGCCAAUGGCACUGCCCGGUAGCUAAAUGCGGAAGAGAUAAGUGCUGAAAGCAUCUAAGCACGAAACUUGCCCCGAGAUGAGUUCUCCCUGAGACU